AGAGUUUGAUUAUGGCUCAGGAUGAACGCUGGCGGCGUGCUUAACACAUGCAAGUCGAACGAAGAUGCCGGAGUGCUUGCACUUUGGCAGACUGAGUGGCGGACGGGUGAGUAACGCGUGGGUAACCUGCCUUAUACAGGGGGAUAACAGUUGGAAACGACUGCUAAUACCGCAUAAGCGCACGGUAUCGCAUGAUACAGUGUGAAAAACUCCGGUGGUAUAAGAUGGACCCGCGUCUGAUUAGCUUGUUGGUGAGGUAACGGCCCACCAAGGCGACGAUCAGUAGCCGGCCUGAGAGGGUGAACGGCCACAUUGGGACUGAGACACGGCCCAA
rnacentral:rRNA from 1 species